AGAAAAAUAAGUCCCCACUAUGGAAGCUGUAGUGUGCCAUCGUGUGUCCUUUUGUCCACACUUCUUUGCUUGCAAGUGCUCAUUGCAUUGACUUUGUUGGUCUGGUACGAGUCAGGCCUCUGGCUUCUGCUAUGCUAACGAUGCUAGAACCUUACUGAGACUCCUCUAGGGUAGACUGUUGUCACCCCGUGUGUCAUGGAGACCCUGUAGUUUUGGAUCUGCAGGACUGGCUUCUUCACGUACUCCAGCAGUUCAUUGAUGGGAUAGACGUGGGGUGGGCUAACUCAAAGCCCUGGAUCUGGGCCUGAGAGGUGUCUGAGCUGCUCAGCCCACCAGCUCUCCAGUUCUUGUGGCCUUUGGAUUGGCUCGCCAGCAACCCCCUCUCCCAGGGCUAGCUCUCCUGGCUGACCAGGUGAGGUACAAGGCUGGCUUUCCCCUACUGAUGACAGGGGGCGGGGCGGGGGCGGAACAUCUCUCCCUUGCCCAUGUCACUGCACAGCAGAUGAGUGUCAGGGCCAGCUCUCUCAUGCUCUGACCCUCAGGGCCAGCUUGCCUGAGCCCCGGCCACCAGGCUCAACGCUACUGUUUCUCAUUAGUGCAUAGUAGGUGGUAGUUUUGAGUGUGAUCCUCCAGGUGCCUCUGGGUCUCCUCCCAGAAGCACAGUAACAUGGCCAUUCUGAAGAUCUGAAGUAUGAGUGGCUAUGCAAUUUGCUUAAGACACCUGGAGGGGUAUAGCUCUGUCAGUAGAGUGCUUAGCUAACAUAUCUGAAGCCCUGGGUUUGACCUUCAAUACCACACAAACCAGCACGGUGGGACAUGCUGUAAUCCCAGCACAUGGGAGGUGAAUUCAAAGCUCAAGACCAUCCCUCUACUACAUAGCAAGCUCUGGGCUAGCCUUGGGUAAAUGAGAUUCCCAUCUCAAAAAGAAAAGAACGUGUGUAAGGGCAGUCAGGGAAGUGGGAGAAGACUCAGUAGAUAAAAGGGGAGUAUCUGAGUCGUUCUCCAGUACUCACGUAAAAGAGACAGAUAAAUAUAAAACAAACAAACAAACAAACAAACAAACCUUAGUUCGAUGACCUUCUAUGCCUUUCAAGGUCGGUCCUUAUAUUUGCUUUAGGAACCUGACAAGACUGACUAGCCAUCUCUAGCAUUCAGAUAGGUGGAACUUCAUUGUGCUGAAGUUAUGUUUGAGCACCCUCUGCUGGACAAAUCAGAUGCUCUAUGACUACCAACAAUGUACCAGUGGUAUUCGUCUCUUGCAGAUCUGGAAGAAAAUGAAAUUUAGGUACAUACAGUCACGAACAGAUACCUAGAUGACACAUUUAAAACCCUCAAACACAGUGGAGAUGAGACCAGCAUAAUAUUAAGCUCUUCUCCCUCACAAACACCUGUGCUACCCACACUCACAGGCAAAAAAAAUAUACACAACUGCCAGACUGCAAUGCCUCCCAAUUUAUUGGCCAAAUCUAGAUUCUGCUAGCCCUGUAUAUUCACUCAGAAAGCCAGGCUUCAGACACACCAUGAGUGAUGAGAAAUCCAUUUCAUCAGCAGAGGCAUCUUGCCUAUCUUCAGGAAGCCUACAGACUUCCAGGGAAGCAGGGGGGAAAUCAAGACGUGUCUGACUAUGAGCUGGGGUAAGGGAAGCCUCCGUGUGAAGAUGUGACCUAGUUAGGACAGCUGCCGGAAAGCAGGACUGGCAAGCUUGGUGGUUUGUACACCGGGCCUUGGGAGACUUGGGACACAAACACGAGGUCUUCUGAGGAUGUUUGUGAGUUGCUGGGUUACACAAAAAGAUUCUAGCUCAACAAGCAAAGAAGCGAAGGGGAGGGAAGGGGAGGAAAGGGAGGAGAAGAAAGGAAGUGGGAAGAGAAAAUGGGGCCAAGAAAAGCCCCAAACAUCCCAUAAGCACCCAGAACAGUGUCCCCACCGCGAACCAACCGGGAACCAAAGUGUUCACACCAGAUGAGCUCGUGGAAGGGCUUUUUGCCAAUUGUUCAUGGGUCCCCAGUGAUGAUGGAAUAUUGCGACUUACGUUUCAACCGUUUAAAAAUUUACUGUUAUUAUUUAUGCAUUUCAGUGUUUUGUCUGUUACACGCUCUGUAACUCCAGUUGCAGAAAAUGUAAAACUUUUCUGCCCCCUCCCCCUCCGGCAACCGGGCACAGACAUUUACGGGAGGCUGUGGCUACUUUAGGAGGUAGAGCCUAAAUGGAGAAACUGGGUUGUUGGGACAAUAGACAUUGAGGUUUACAGCCCAACCCCACUGCCUGCCCCUCUCUCCCUUUUCCACCAAGAUGUGAGCGAGCAGUCUCCUUCCUGCUGCUGCAGCUGCAAGCUGCUCCUGCCGCCCAUGCCUUCUCUACUGCCAUGCCUUCCCUACCACAAGGGCCAGAACUCUCACACUGAAAGCCAGAAUAAAUCCUUCCUCUCUUCGGUUGGUUGUUGUCAGGAGAAGGCAGCAGCUGGCAUCAAUGGUGUGGUGAGGAGAGAAUCAAGUUUCCUUCUCCAGUUCAAACAGACGAAAGUGAAGCGACAUAGGCUCAAGGACAGGGUCACUGGGCUAGCGCCACACCAUGGAGCCAAACCCCGAGCCUUCUAAAUUGUGAGCUGGGCAUGGUGGUUCACCCCAGGAAUCGCAGCACUGAGGGAUGAAGGCGAGAGAGUCACUGUGGGUGUGACAUCAGUCUGGCCUGAAGUCUGAGACUGUUUUUUUAAAAAGAAAACAUUUUUUUAUGUCAUAUAUUUAAUUAUAUAAAGAUUCUGUUGUUUUGUUGUUGUUGUUGUUAAAAUUCAGCCAGGAAAUUUCCAUCUGUCUGGUGUUAAUUGGUUGUUUUUCAGCACUAAUUGGGAAAUGAUAUAUUUUUAUUGUUUUAUAAAUAGAGUAAAACCCCUCAGAAACUGCUGGGGAAAUUUAAACAAGGAAAGCAAUUCUAUGUCCUUGCUUGACACCAGUUUGUCCCAGAGGUGACACAACUGUGUAGUUUUUGAAAACACUGGGCAUUUAUAUAUAUAUGAGACAAAACCCCACUGUAUAGCCCUGGCUAACUCGAAACUCACUAUGUAAAUCAGGCUGGGCUUUGACACACAGAGCUCUGCCUUUGCCUACUCAGUGUUGGGAUUUAACACCCACACCACCAUAGCCAGCCUUCUCUCCAAGGGGCAAAUUUCUUUCUGAAGCAACUUCCUCAUUUAUUAACAGUAUUGCUUCCAGACCCCGUGUGUGUGUGUGUGUGUGUGUGUGUGUGUGUGUGUGUGUGUACAGAUAUGUGUUUGCAAGUAUUUAGACACAAGUUGAUGCAGACUACACCAGUUUCAUGAAAUUGUUCCCAUGUCAGUGGCUAGUCUGAGCCUUUUGUACUUGUAAACAGCUGGCUGUAAACUGGGGAUUCCCAUACUCUCCUCUUCAGCCCCAUAAUUAUCAUGGUGAUUUGCAACCUGUAGGUAAUGACCCGUUUGGCUCAUAUAUCAGAUAUUCUGCAUGUCAGAUAUUUAUAUUUUGAUUCAUAACAAUAGUAAAAUUAUAGUUAUG